rnacentral:misc_RNA from 1 species
GAUGAAGAACGCAGCGAAAUGCGAUAAGUAAUGUGAAUUGCAGAAUUCAGUGAAUCAUCGAAUCUUUGAACGCACAUUGCGCCCGCCAGUAUUCUGGCGGGCAUGCCAGUUCGAGCGUCAUUUCAACCAUCAAGCCCCCGGCUUGUGUUGGGGACCUGCGGCUGCCGCAGGCCCUGAAAUGCAGUGGCGGGCUCGCUGUCACUCCGAGCGUAGUAGUUACAUCUCGCUCUGGGCGUGCUGCGGGUUCCGGCCGUUAAAAGCCUUAUUUACCCAAGGUUGACCUCGGAUCAGGUAGGAAGACCCGCUGAACUUAAGCAUAUCAAUAAGCGGAGGA